AUGUACAUUCCUACAAGAUAGCGUUAAUGCAUUGGAUCCGAUAAGAACUCCACAGUUAAGUGCGCUCAGGCUAGAGUAGUACUGGGAUGGGUUACCGCCUGAGAGGUCCUAGUGUUUUACAUG
rfam:Picea glauca, whole genome shotgun sequence.